rnacentral:rRNA from 1 species
GGACGAACGCUGGCGGCGUGCUUAACCCAUGCAAGUCGAACGGUAAGGCUCCAGCUUGCUGGGGUACACGAGUGGCGAACGGGUGAGUAACACGUGGGUGACCUGCCCUGCACUUCGGGAUAAGCCUGGGAAACUGGGUCUAAUACCGGAUAGGACCGCACCGUGAGGGUGUGGUGGAAAGUUUUUUCGGUGUGGGAUGGGCCCGCGGCCUAUCAGCUUGUUGGUGGGGUAAUGGCCUACCAAGGCGGCGACGGGUAGCCGGCCUGAGAGGGUGGACGGCCACAUUGGGACUGAGACACGGCCCAGACUCCUACGGGAGGCAGCAGUGGGGAAUAUUGCACAAUGGGCGGAAGCCUGAUGCAGCGACGCCGCGUGGGGGAUGACGGCCUUCGGGUUGUAAACUCCUUUCACCAUCGACGAAGGGUUUCUGACGGUAGAUGGAGAAGAAGCACCGGCUAACUACGUG